GACGAACCGUGCGAACGUUGUUCGGAAUCACUGGGCUUAAAGGGCGCGUAGGCGGGCCACCAAGUCUGGGGUGAAAUCCUUCGGCUUAACCGGAGAAUUGCCUGAGAUACUGGUGGUCUUGAGGGAGGUAGGGGCACGCGGAACUUCCGGUGGAGCGGUGAAAUGCGUAGAGAUCGGAAAGAACACCAACGGCGAAAGCACUCUGCUGGGCCGACACUGACACUGAGAGACGGAAGCUAGGGGAGCGAAUGGG
rnacentral:rRNA from 1 species